AUUUAUAUAGUUUAAAAAAACAUUGCAUUUUCACUGUAAAAUUAAGAAAAAUUUUCUUUAUAAAUU
rnacentral:tRNA from 1 species